CCCUUAGAUGUUCUGGGCCGCACGCGUGCUACACUGAGUAAAUCAAUGGGUAAGGGAACACGAAAGUGCAACCUAAUCUUGAAAUUUGCUCGUGAUGGGGAUCGACGGUUGCAAUUUUCCGUCGUGAACGAGGAAUACCUUGUAGGCGCGUGUCAUCAUCACGCGCCGAAUACGUCCCUGCCCUUUGUACACACCGCCCGUCGCUCCUACCGAUGAGUCGUCCGGUGAAGUUCGUAGACCUCGUGAUCGCGGAUCACUGGGGGAAGCAAAAUGAACCUCGCGGUUUAGAGGAAGGAGAAGUCGUAACA
rnacentral:rRNA from 1 species